rnacentral:rRNA from 1 species
GACGUAGGGCGCGAGCGUUGUCCGGAUUUAUUGGGCGUAAAGAGCGUGUAGGCGGUUUGGUAGGUCUGCUGUGAAAACUCGAGGCUCAACCUCGAGACGUCGGCGGAAACCAUCUGGCUAGAGUCCGGAAGAGGAGAGUGGAAUUCCUGGUGUAGCGGUGAAAUGCGCAGAUAUCAGGAAGAACACCCGUGGCGAAGGCGGCUCUCUGGGACGGUACUGACGCUGAGACGCGAAAGCGUGGGGAGCGAACAGG